rnacentral:lncRNA from 1 species
AGAACAGAAACAUACAGUACCAAGAUUAUUUAUGCGGUUUGCUAUCUCCUAUAUGGCGCUCGGAUAAAUUAGUUUUCACAAGCUGUGCUAGAUACAUGGUAUGCAUUUUCUCAACAUGUUUCUCUAUUCUUUCUGCAUUUUGUUUAGAGGACUAUUUUCAGCCAAGGUCAGAAAAGAAAUAGGUCAUACCAUUAUACGGCAUCAUGUCCACUUUCUGCUACUCUGAACAUUCCGACGUUCGGCCUGACGUACUGAAUUCCGUAGGCUUCGGCUGAUCUAGAGAUACCCCUUUUCUUUGCAGCAUUGGAUGGCUCCGUCGAACAUGUCCUCGAUCCUGUACUUAUACUCAAAACCGGCGUCCAACAGUUUCCUUGACGAUAGGCGGGGGAACCUGGGGCCUUUCAAUUCCUUCAAGGACCUACAAAGAUUUGAAAAGCUUUGCUUUCAGUCCAAGAACAGCAAGAAUCCGUUACAUCAUGAAAUGGGAUAUAUCAGGACUUACUCUGGAGAGGGUAUCUGAAACUCCGGGUAUCUUUCCGAGAGAAACUCGGACAUCUCCUCGAUGGUCAUCGUGGCCGAGGUACAAAUGUACCGCCCCUUGGUGUCGGGGUGCUCCAAGAGGAAGAUGUGUGCUCUUGCCAAGUCGUCUACAUGCACGAAAGAUACUUUGAGAAGAAGAGAGUACUCAUUCUCGUUCCCUGUUAAUUUCGAACAAAGUCAAUCUAAGAUUUGAGAUUCUUUGUAUCAUCGAAAUGAAGAUAAACAUAUGGAUGGACAGAUUAUAGUCCUGUCUUCCUUUGUCAUAUACUUGACAUUGAGCAGAGAAACGUUGUCAAAUUAUGGAAUUCUGGUAUCGUUCUGGUGACCAAAACAAUCAAAUUGAUCAUGAAUUUGACUGCAGUACCAAAGGUGUAUCACGAAAAGUUAAUGUAAAAUCAAUAGAUCAUGGAGAUCAAUAUUAUAUGAACCAUAGUUUCUCUGUAAAUUUCACAUGAUCAACAGUUCAGAUAGACUUGACUGACCAUAUAUAUAUUGAUCGUAUGAUAUUUUCUCACGUAUCACAUUACCUAAUACCAAAGCCAGCGAAACUCGGACGGAUCCAGCGAACUUGGGGCAAAUGAAGGGCCCGUGGACAAACGUGGGAACCACCGUCACCACUUCCAGUCCGUGCUGCUCUCCGAACUCAAGAACCGCCUUCUCAGUCAAUGUCUUUGAGAUUGCGUAGGAAGAUCCAAACCUCCCCAUUUCUCGGAUGGACUCAACAUCGCUCCAGGAGUCCUCAUCCAAUAUAUAGGCCCCAGAGUUAUUAUAUUCAAUUGCAGCCGCACUCGAAGUGUACACGACCCGCUUCACUGUCUUGGAGUUCAGGCAGGCCCUCAGGAUGCCCAAUGCUCCAUCGAUGGAUCUUUUGGUGACGACUGGCUCUGGCUCUCUGUCCUCGAAGUCCACCGGGGUGGCAACGUGGAAGACUCCGACACAGCCCUUGAUGGCUGGGCUGAAACUCUCGGGGUCACUGAGUUCAGCGGUUAGGAUUUGGAGCCUUUCUGAUGCUCCUGGUAGAUUUUUCAAGAAGCUCGUGUCCCUUUUGCCAUCUGAGCGGAACAAAUUGGUCAAUCGCCUUGCGAAUAAAAGCUCAAACAUCUAAUGGGAAACUGAUGUGUGAGGUUGACUGGAGAUAACAGUCCAAAAUAUAUUAACCAACAUGACUCAUUCAGGAAACACUCCGAAUUACAGCAUUAAACUUAACAACGAGAACUGCAAGAAAAGCUGAUUCAAGAGAGAAGGAGUGAAUUCAUAUGUAGAACAAGAGCAAGAGAUCAUCAUUAACCGAUUCAGCUGCCCCUAAGUCAAGACAUCCUUUGUUCAUCUUAUGCCUUCUCAUGCUUGAAAGGGCGGCAAAAAAGGGUUGCUUUUCUUAUGGUUCCAUGCCCAAUGACAAUUCCGAUCAGAAUCGAACCUCAAACGCCACGAAUCAUACAAAAAACAUAGAAAUUUCUCCAUCUGUCGACACCCCAACUUUCUGCAUAAACAUUUCACAUGCACAGACCGUUCGAAACACAUGAGCAGUCCCAUACACUUAAUCUAUACGAUCAAACUUCGAUCAAGAGCGCUAACCAUAGUAUUGCCAAUAAAUUUGCAGGCACAGACAGAUCAGAUCAUGUUGGACCGUCGUGUUGACAUAUACAGUACAAAACAUCAAUCUCAGACCAUACACUUGAUCAGAACUCAUGGCAAGAACGAAUCUCCAUGUUCAAGCAGGAAGAAAGAAGAAGGGAGACUUACCCGGGUCGGGUCUGACGGUGGUCCGGACGGAGUAACCAUGUUCAAGGAGCCUCAUGAUGAGCCAUGAAGCUAUGAAGCCAGUACCGCCUGUCACGCACACCGUGCCUCUGUUGCCCUCCAUGGCUUGGAGAAGUAAGACGCUUCAAUUUUCAGGAAGCAUCCAACUUUUUUGAGUGACCUCGAUGAUUUGGCCAGCAGGGCGGGGGCGCCUCUCCACUUAAAAGCGGAUGCAACGCCGCUUACGUCACUUUGAUUUUCGUUUUCAAAAGGGGCCAAAAAAAAAAAAAUGAGUGGUAAGGGAUGCAUCUUCCCCGCUGAAAGUCAUCUUUCAAUUUGAGUAAUAAUCACUAAAUGUACUUUUCAAUCAUCCAUCGUGGACACAGUCCUAGACAAAUGAGUCGAUAGACAAGUGUCUCUCAACAUAAGGUUAUAUCCUAGACCAAUGAGUUUCUUCUGCUUGUCCGAUCCCCCCGGAUUCUUAAUUCAAUUUCGAGCCUUCCUCCUUCGAUCCCUCGGCUCCUUCUGUCGCUCGCCGAAUCCGCACGCUGACGUCGAUGGUUCCCUCCACGUCGUCGCGUAGCUCAUCAUGAUCCUCGCCGGCACGCUUCGUGCCGUUUCGACCCCACCCGCGACGCGGACGCUACCGGGCGCCUGCUCUGCUAUAUAGCGGGUCGCCCCGCCACUGUGAAAGCUGGAGGCCCCAGGGGAAGUGAUGGAUUCCGCAGAUUCUCGCCCCGAUGAGGAAGCUCCGUUGGUCGUCGCCGCCUCCGCCGAGGCCUCGCCGGCGGCGGCGGCGGCUCCGUCGCCUCGGGGGAGCCAUGUCCGGGACGUCCAUAUACUGAGCUGCGGGUUUCUGCUCAUCUUCUCGGCCUACGGGGCUGCUCAGAAUCUCGAGAGCACCGUGAACACUGUGAGUUCCGGUUUCGGCGACGUUUCCGUUGAAUCGCGGGCUCCAAGUUCGCAUUUUUUACUUCCCCGGGAAAGAAUUGAGAGAAAUCGACGAUCGACAAGUGAAAACCUAGUAGCAGAAUCUGGACUUCUGCGUCUGAGCUUGCUUUUAGGAAUUGUUCCUUUUUUUUUUUUUUCUCGUUUCUUACUUCGUUUGACGUUGCGUUUUGGUUUGAUGAGUUUCUUGAUUUUGUUGCAGACGGAUAAUAUGGGCGUGGGAGUCGAAACCCACUCUUGAAACUUACUCGUCCCCACCCCAUCCCCUGAGAAUGUGAGGAUUUGAACCCAUCACCUCUCCCUUCCAUGUUAGAAGGAUGGCUACUGGGCAAAUCCCAGUGAUUUACGAUAAAACUCUAAUUUAUGACUUUGUUAAAGACAAGGUACCCAAUUGCUACUAGACUACCACAUUUGAUGGUGCAACGACUUGACAUAUGUUGGAUUAUAUAUAUAUAUAUAUUUCUUAUUUUAACAUCUUAAAUUCUUCGAGAAAAAAAUAUUUGUUUAACAUGGUAUUAGAGCACAAGUGAUGAGGUCAAAUGCCUAGACUCCCUCCCACAUUUUGUAUGUUUAUCUGCCGUUGAUUAUUCGUAUAAUGUGAUUAUGCACCUAUCUCGUUAUUUUAAAUGUAAGUCAUGAUUCACACACAAUAAAGUGUGUUAAAUAAUAUAGUGUAUCAAUAUAGUUGGCAACCGUUUAAACAACUUAAAAAAAUUUCAAAAGAAAAAAUGAUUUGUGUCACUAUCUAUAGAUUUUUUUUUUAUUUCAUAAAAUUGAAUGAAUUGGUCAUUUCACUCUAGUUUUUCAUUCUAUCACCAAUCAACAGUUGGAAGGCAGUCUUACGACAUGGCUAGUGAUUAUUUCUUUUUUCUAUAGAGUGUCGGGAUCAUAACAAAUACACAAAAAGAUCUUAAUAAUUGUUUGUGAAAAUCAAUUUGCUGAUCGACGAUAGACAAAACAAUUAUCCGACACAUUAAAAUGCUUUAAUGAUAUAGAGUUGUGGGAAUCAAGAUGUCGUGGCACUAUACUAUACCAGUAAUGCCAUUCAUUUUGUGGAAUAUGUUCACCCAAUUAAGCGAUAUAAUUGUUUGCCUCGAAUAAUGAACUUGUUACCAAGACAAUUUGAACUUCUCUCUAUACAUAAAUUUAUAACCCUCAGAAAUUCUCAUUUGAAUCAAAGAAACCAUGAACACACGCUAGCAAAAUCAUUCAUGGUUCGACGAAGAGAUUUGUACGAUUCCAUCAUUACCGCGUCCCGAAAGAGGACGACCCUCGUCGUGCCUUUCGAUGUUAGCGGAGGUUUCCACAAUUCCCUGUCAUGAUCCUGCUCGAAUGCUAGCGGUGGGGUUGGCGCUCGGUCUCAAUCCAACGAAGGGGACCUUCCACGGCGAGAAACCCUACUUUUCAGCUCCGUUGAACUUGCUAUCCGGACCAGUGCCUAACCGGUGUCGAUCGUUUACACGAUCUUUAUCCUCACCCAGCUGUGCUUGGAGGGGGCACGCCUAGUUAGGUUAAUCAGUUCAUGUUGACUCUCUUUCCUGUGAUGAGACAAAGUUACUUUUCCUUUUGUCUUUCUCGUGCUCUCGUCCUUUCCUUUCCCCACUAUGGCCGUUCGAUCUGCACGCUGGUUCGCUUUCUCUGAAGAUGUGGGUGAUUCUACACUGACCCAGCAGCUGCAUUAGGCCCCUGCGGUAGCGCCAUUAGCAGUUGGACGUCCCUAUUAGAAAAAGACUCGCAUAGCAUCCGUUUCCACUUCCAGUAAUUGCACUCCCUUAUCUGCACUAUGUUCCUUGAUCAUCACGCAAUACACUUCCAGCUCCCAGGUGCACCUAUCGCUCCUACGACUGCACCAUCAGUAUUGAGCUUGUGCCAGCCUCCCCCCCGUCUUCCCAACCCAAUUCUUAUGUGCAGACGCAUCACCAAUGUGUGUCCGACAUUAGCACAUUAGCACCGAUCCAGUCCCUCAGGCUAAGAUCAUAACUAUGGUGAAGGGGAGAAGGAGCAUCAAUGUGAGCCCAACAUUCAUUGAGGACAUAGUGCUAACAUUCAAAUCUCUUCUCGCCAGAGUGGAUCUCGUGGCAAUGCUGUACGUGGCAUUAACGAAAUGAAAAAUCGAAUGCGAGGAACAGCAUCCACUUUCCACGCACAUCUCCAGUCUUCUUCCGGCUUUCUCCAAGCAUCCAAACCUUCAGCCAAAUGAUAAACAGCGUUCAAAGUAAAGCGCCAGUCCCUAGAGAAACUCCAACCGAAUUCAGAGUGCCCCUUGCCCCUCUUCCGAUCUGGACUGCCUUAUCAUAUUCGGAAUCUCGUUAGGAAGGGAUAAGAGAGUCUAGAAAAGUCCCAAACUCCCGUAGAAAUCAAACAAGUCCUUCACUUUCAACUCCAAAUCACUGACACGUCGAGGCUCAAUUACUAGAUCCCCUAAUGGACCAGACCCUGGUCAGAUGUCAAGUAGGCUUUCCAACUAGUGAGCCUAGUCCGAGCCUUCUCAAUGAUGAACCCGAAACGACAAGAACUAACACGAUCUGUAUGCAAAGUAAAUCCCGACUAGCAACACCAAGACAACCCAAGCCAUCUGUGGAGAUCGUCAUAAGCAGCAAUAGCAAUAAUACCAGAGAGUUAAAUCACGAUCAUCAUAUCAUAUCUCCAGAAAAGAAGACCUCGGAUUUACUGAAAAUUUAACCUUUUUCCCAGAAUCCUCACAGAAAGACUUGACAGUGUCUACGACCAAUUGACAACCAACCUCAGUAGCCUCUCCAAACGGAAAACAUUCCGCCAGUAAAGAAAAAUUGCGAGAAAGCCAAGGCCCCUCUCAAGGCCUUCAUCGGCUUCCAAUUGCCAUUGCGACAUUCCUCUGCAAAUAAAUAGCCUAGUAUUUCCAUAUAACGGAUAAACAGGUAAAGGGUAAAUAAGAUCACCUUGCUUUAAUCCCUACACGGCGAGAAAGGACAUAGCAUACCACCGUUCAUAAAUGAUAGUGGUAGAAGCAGUAGUGAUGCAAAUCGCACCUGUAUUCGAGAUCGAUUUUGACAGCAAAGGAACCGGUCCUUCGCUUCCGUAUGUUGCAUCAUAGAACAUCAUCAUGCGUUCACCUCCCUCGGGGAUGAAGCUAGCCCAGCAAGGACUAAUGAUAUCAUCAAGAAAAAGGCCUUAAGCGCCCGAUAAAUGAGCAAAGCGUUCCUAAUUUUUCCAGUUCAUCCCUUUUAUGAAGGCAAAACAUAAAUUUUAUAUUUUGGAUCCUCUUUUCUUUUCUUUUUUUCUGUGUAGCAUGGCCCAAAGGUAGCAUGUAACAAAUAAAAUGAACGAAGUUUUCAUGGAUUAAAGUUCAGUGAGAUCAAACAAAAUAAUUUUGCGAGUCAUAUUAGCUACUUAACUCUCUUUUAGCAUGACCUAAGAUUAUAAACAUCUCUAUUAAAUUUGUGCAAUUUGUGUAGUCUGAAAUAAACAAGGAGAAAAAUUCUUCUCGCCCCAUUUUUGUCUAUCCUCUACCCGAUUAUUGCAGCUUACCCAUUGCCCCAUGCUUCCUCCACGACCCCCCGAGACCAUCUCGACAGCCACCGUUUCUGAUAGCUACCUUCGCCUCGAUAAAAUAUUCGAUGGGUCCAUAGCGUUUACAUCAACUGCUGGUCAUGUUGCGAGUAUUUUUUACUCACGUCCGCUUAUAAAUUGACACGUGUUUGUUGAUGUGGAUGGGAAAAGACAAUUAAAAUAUGUUUCUACUUCCACCGACCUGUAACUCGAACGAGCCACCUCGCAUUUGUUUUUUCUUUUUGCCUUUUGAGGUCAUGGAUGAGCAAGGCAUGUGGUCAUGAUUGGCAGCGUCACCGGCCGGCCAUGAUAGCAGCAACAUCAAUAUGGACGAGCAAGGCUAGAGAGAAAUGUAAUGGGAGAAUGGUAAUAGUUCGAACAAUAUCGAAUCAACGCAGUGUAAUAAAAUAAUCUCACAUCUUAUGUAAACCUAAUAGGAAUCGAUAUGGUAGAGUAAAAUAAAUACCAAGCACGCGAACACAGGACGAUUUUUUUACGUGGAAAACCUCCUUGAUGUGAGGAGAUAAAAAACCACGGGAUUGGAGUCCACCUGAAAAUCUUCACUAUCAAUAAAAUUGUUCUUCUCUAGCAAAUACUAGAGGUACAUAGCAGCAAACACCUCAAGAACAUAAUUCUUGGCAAUACACAUGAACUUCACAAGAGAUCAAGGAUAAAUCUGACCAAAAACGUAGGUUUUGAUCAAUCCACAAAAAACCUGAUGUAUGGAGCUUCAAAUGAAAAUCAAACCGUUCAGAUUCAAUUAAAUUGCGCCACAAACAUGCUGACAAAAUUUCAGCUCAAUCGAACCACGAAUCGACCUCCAACGCCAGCUUGAUGUAAAUCAGAUAUUGCCCAAAACCCCAGAUUUUCUGCUUUCUCUUACUCUUUCCUUUUCUGCUACUACCUCUUUAUAUAAAUAGUGAGAAACCCUAUUUCUUCAUAUAACUUAUUAUAUGGACUCAAGUCCUUUUUGGGCUUGCAACUCAUUGGGCUUCCUCCACAUAGGAGUGAACCCAGCUAACAAAUCUCCCCAUCACGACAAUGUGGAGGGAUUCACUAUCCCUACUAUCAAACGGCAAUGUUCAAGCUUCUUUCUUGGUACAGUCUUCGUCAUCAUAUCAAAGCCAUUAUGAUCUGUAUGAAUUUUCUCAAGUUCCAACAACUUUUCAUCUAGAACAUCCCUUAUCCAAUGAUAUCUAACAUCAAUAUAUUUUGAUCUAGAAUGAAAAGAUGAAUUCUUACCAAGAUGAAUUGCGCUUUGAUUAUCACAAAAUAGCACAUACCUCUUUUGCUUGAACCCAAGUUCUUCUAAGAACUUCUUCAUCCAUAACAUCUCUUUACUAGCUUCAGUCGCUGCAAUAAAUUCAGCUUUGGUUGUAGAAAGUGCAACACACUUAUGCAAUCUUAACUUUCAUGACACAGCUCCACCCGCAAAAGAAAUCAAAUAACCAGAAGUAGAUUUACGAGUAUCAAUAUCUCCUACCAAGUCGGAAUCUGUGUAUCCAACUAACUCAAGUUUCCCGGUCCCGAAACUGAGUUUCAAAUUUGAAGUUCCCCGAAGAUACCUCAUAAUCCACUUCAAUGCAUUCCAGUGCUCUCUGCCUGGAUUUGAUAAAUAACGACUAACAACGCCAACUGUGUGCGCCAAGUCUGGGCGUGUACAUACCAUCGCAUACAUUAAGCUUCCUAAAGCAUAUGGAAUACUUUCCAUAUCUUUCUUUUCUUUAUCAGUCGUAGGACUUUGCAUCAUAUUUAACUUAAAGUGGGUAGCAAGAGGAGUACUAACCACUUUAACCUUGUCCAUGUAAAAUUUCUGAAGGAUCUUCUCGAUAUAUUUCUCUUGCGACAAAAAUAACUUCUUAGCAUCUCUGUCUCGGGUAAUUCUAAUGCCAAGAAUCUGCUUCGCCGAGCUCAAGUCUUUCAUGGCAAAAGACUUGCUCAACUGUUUCUUCAAUAACUCAAUUCUUGAAGCAUUAUUGCCAACAAUCAGUAUAUCAUCAACAUAAAGCAAGAGAAUAAUAAAGUCAUCAUCAGAAAUUUUUUUGACAAACACACAGUUAUCCGAGGAAGUCUUCUUAUAGCCUUGUUCUGUCAUAACUGACGCAAAUUUCUUAUACCACUGCCUCGAUGCUUGUUUUAGGCCAUAGAGACUUUUCUUCAAUUUGCACACAUAAUCCUCUUUCCCUUUCACUUUGAAACUCUUAGGUUGUUUCAUGUAUAUCUCUUCCUCCAAGUCACCAUGUAGGAAGGCCGUUUUAACAUCCAUUUGCUCAAUUUCUAAAUCUAGGCUAGCUGCCAAGCCUAGUACCACACGAAUAGAAAAUAUUUUCAAUACCGGAGAAAAUAUAUCAUCAAAAUCAAUACCCUUUCUCUAACCGAAUCCCUUAACAACCAAUCUAGCUUUGAACCGUGGUUGUAAGGUAUGUUCAUCUUGCUUCAACCUAUAUACCCACUUGUUCUUCAAAGCUCUUUUACCUUUAGGUAACUUCACCAAUUCAAAAGUAUGAUUAUCAUAAAGUGACUGCAUCUCAUCUCGCAUAGCAUCGAACCAAUUACUUCUGUACUCAUCUUCUAUUGCUUCCGCAUAGCACUCUAGUUCACCUGCAUCAGUCAAUAAUACAUACUUAUCUUUAGAAUACCUGAUGGAAGGUCGUCGGUCUCUAACAAAUAUCUGGACUAGAACAUCCAGUGGAAUAUCUAAUUGAGUCUCUGGUUCAGGAAUAGUAUUAUCUACUUCAACAUGUUCAGAAACAUGUGCGUUAUUUGGAACAUUGACUUCCUGCUGCUCUUCAUCAACUUGUGUAGGAAUAUUUGUAAGAGGAACUGGAUCUAAAUCAACCAGAUUAUUACUAACCUGUGAUGCUGAAAUCAUCUUUGAUUUCUCAAUAUUUUCUAUUGUUUGAUCUUCUAUAAACACAAUGUCUCUGCUUCUUACAAUUUUCUUUUCAAGUGGAUCAUAAAAUUUGUAGCCAAGCAUAUCCUGUCCAUAACCAAUAAAUAUGCACUGUCGUGUUUUCACAUCAAGUUUAGACCUCUCAUCUUUGCAAAUAUGCACAAAUGCUUUGCACCCAAAUACACGCAAAUAAUCAUAAGAAACUUCUUUGCUUGUCCAAACUCUAUUAGGAACAUCAAACUCUAAAGGAACGCAUGGAGUAAGAUUUAACACAUACACGACGGUCCUUAAAGCCUCACCCCAAAAGGAUCCAGGUAGUUUUGAUUGUGAAAGUAAGCAUCUUACCCUUUCAACCAGUGUUCUGUUCAUUCUCUCAGCUAAGCCAUUUAACUGAGGUGUCUUAGGAGGUAUCGUUUGAUGUUGAAUACCUUGUUGUCCGCAGUAUUCAUCAAAAGGUCCAAUAUACUCUCCCCUGUUAUCAGUUCUGAUGCAUUUCAAUUUCUUUCUAGUCUAUUUUUCAACUGAAGCCUGAAAUUGCUUAAAAGCAUCUAACAUUUGAUUUUUAGUUUUCAAGGUAUAAAUCCAAAUUUUCCUUGAAAAAUCAUCUAUAAAAGUAACAAAAUAAAGAGAGCCACCAAGUGAUUUUGUUUUCAUUGGACCGCAAACAUCAGAAUGCACUAAAUCCAAUAUACCUGACUUUCUUGAAUGAGGGGAGCUUUUAAAUGCAACUCUAUUCUAUUUUCCUGCUAAACAAUGAGCACACUUCUUUAGCGCUGAACUUUUCAAUCCUGAAAGAAGCUUCUUCUUGGCCAAUAUUGAUAAACCAUUCUCACUUAUGUGACUGAGCCUCUUAUGCCAUAACUCAGCUGCAUCUUCGCUAUCUACUGCAUUAAUUUUGUCUGUAGACAACUUUGCUUGCAUAAUGUAUAAUGAAGAAUUCACCUCUAGCCACAACAAGAGAACCUUUGGUAAGUUUCCAUUGACCAUUACUAAAGGUGCUGCAAUACCCCUCAUCAUCCAACUUGCCUGUAGAAAUUAAAUUCAAGCGGAUAUCAGGUAUAUGUUUAACAUUAUUCAAUACUAACCUUGUGUCAUUGUUGGUUUCUAGGCACACAUCACCGAUGCCUACAGCUUGAGCUAGUCCAUUGUUUCCCAUCUUCACAGAUCUGAAGUCACCUGACUUGUAUGAUGUAAAGAAAUCCCUACGAGAUGUAGCAUGAACAGAUGCAUCACUAUCAAUUACCCAAUUGGUCUCAUGAGAAACAAAAUUCACCACAUCACCAUCAAAAAUAGUGAGAAAGUCUUCUUUAAGUGCAACGACACGAUUGUCAUCACUGUCAUCAUCACUUUUCUUCUCUUUACCUUUCUCCUUUUAAUUCUCCCUUUUUAACUGGCGACAAAACCUCUGAAUAUGUCCCUUCUGAUGACAAUAAUGGCACUCAAUAUUAGCAAAUUUAUUAUACUUACCUCUGCUCUUGUCUCGACUUUUAUCUCUAUUUCUCGGACCUCGAGACUCACUUCUCCCCAUUUUCUCAACAACGAAGGCAUCAAAAUGUGAAGACGACGAUCCCUGUGUCUUCCUUCUCAUUUCUUCAUUCAAAAUACUUCUCUUGGCUAAAUCCAUGGUAAUUGUACCAUCUGGGGCAGAAUUAGACAAAGAUGUUCGGAACGUCUCCCAUGAGUCCGACAAAGUACCAAGCAACCAUAGUGCUUGUAUCUCAUCAUCAAACUUGAUUCCCAUCCAACUGAUUUAUAAUUCCUUGAAAAGAAUUUAAAUGAUCAGUCAAACAAGUACCAUCAUGAUAUCUCAAAGCCAUAAUCUGUUUUAUAAAAAAUAACUUAUUAUUCCCAGUCUUUCGAGCAUAUAACUGUUCGAGCUUAUCCCAUAAACUGCGUGCAUGUGUUUCAUCAAUAAUAUGGUUCAAAACAUUAUCAUCUACCCACUGCCUGAUAUAACCACACACUUGACGAUGAAAUAUAGACCAUUCAACAUCAGUUUUAUUCUCUGGUUUCUCCUCAGCAAAUACAGGCAAAUAAAAAUCUUUCACAUAUAAAAGAUCUUCCAUCUUCCCUUUCCAGAUAUGAUAAUUUGAACCAUUCAGUGUAACCAUUCUACUAGUAUUCAUUUCCAUUGUUUAACACAAGGCAGAAAAAUCAAGUAAUAACCUAUUGCUCUAAUACCACUCUGAUGGGAGAACGGUAAUAAUUCGAACAAUAUCGAAUCAACGCAACGGAAUAAAAUAAUCUCCCCUCUUGUGUAAACCUAAUAGGAAUCGAUAUAGUAGAGUAAAAUAAAUACCAAGUACGCGAACACAAGACGAUUUUUUUACGUGGAAAAUCUCCUCGAUAUGAGGAGAUAAAAAAACCACGAGACCGAAGUCCACCUAAAAAUAUUCACUAUCAAUAAAAUUGUUCUUCUCUAGCAAAUACUAGAGGUACAUAGCAGCAAAUACCUCAAGAACAUAAUUCUUGGCAAUACACAUGAAUUUCACAAUAGAUCAAGGAUAAAUCUGACCAAAAACACAGGUUUUGAUCAAUCCACGAAAAACCUGAUGUAUGGAGCUUCAAACAAAAAUCAAACCGUUCAGAUUCGAUUAAAUUGCGCCACGAACAUGCUGACAAAAUUUCAGCUCAAUCAGACCAUGAAUCGACCUCCAACGCUAGCUUGAUGUAAAUCAGAUAUUGCUCAAAACCCCAGAUUUUCUGCUUUCUCUUACUCUUUCCUUUUCUGCUGCUACCUCUUUAUAUAGAUAGUGAAAAACCCUAUUUCCUCAUAUAACUUAUUAUAUGGGCUCAAGUCCUUUUUGGGCUUGCAACUCAUUGGGCUUCCUCCACAUAGGAGUGAACUUAGCUAACAAAAUGUCCAUGCCCGACCAUUUUGUUUGGCCAGAUCCGGUCGGCUCUGUCUCCCGUCGCCAAGGUCGCAGAUCCGAACCACCAACGAGUUCCACCUUCUACCUUAGACGGGAAGACGGAACCAAGGGGCGAGUUCCUCCUUCUCCAUGGCAAUAGAGCUCUUAAUGGGCCUUUGAGAUCACUAGCCCUUCGAGUUGGAUGGCACCAUCCCGUCACACCAUCUCCGCCCCUUAAUGGGCAUCGCUCGUGAUCAGCCUAAGCAACUCGCCCCGCCGUGUUGCUUGUCCAGAUAUGGUUUCGCCCAUGGCCACAAACCUUGCUCAGCAUAGCUCGUGAGGCGGCUCAUCCACAGACUGCAACUCGUCCAUGGCUACGAACCCUUGAUGAUGAACUCGGAAUUCCGACAGCCGUGAUCAGUAAACAAGCGCAAGCCUGGAUGGCCGGAUAGCGCUCUAUGGAUGGAGGAAGAGACAAGUCAACGUCCACAUGUCAACUUAAAAUCAGACCCGUCAGCAGCUAAUGUGGCGCUACGAAAUCACUUCAUAGUUUCUCCACCUUUGUCCAACAUCCGAUAACGAAAUCACUUCAUAGUUUCUCCACUCUCUCUCUCUCUCUCUAUGCAUGCGCAGGCCAGAGUGCACAGAGGCUUGAUUACCAUUGACGGGACUCCUUCAAAUCUUUGCAUCAGGCAAGCUUGGAGGGCGACCCAAAAUUUACAUAGACGCCUCCACGGCAAGAGGGUUCUCAUAGGGUAAUCAGUUUCCUGUAUGUUCCAAUUUCCUAAAAGAAAACCGAACCAGGACCGGACUGAGAAUCGGACCACACCUUCCAAUCCGGUAAAAUCAGUUACUUAAUUUUUCCUAUUACUUAGAACUGGAUCAAGAUAAUAUUUAGUUUACAUUUUAUUAAUUUUUUAAGAAAUAAUAUAAUAAAAAAGUAUAUUUAGUUAGUCAUGUUUGGUUUGAUCCAGUUUCCCCUUGGAACUAGGAACCCAAUUAGGGUAUUUUGCACACCUCUAUCUCACACUAUCGAGAUCUAGAUGAGAGCAAUGUCCACAUGUCUUGUUGGCAAAAUCUAAUGCCUCCAUCCCUUGGAUGAGUGACAAUGCGCAGAGAGAGAGAGAGAGAGAGAGAGAGAGAGUUGCGUGGAGAGGGAGAGAAGGGCAUCGACAGUUGCUCAAAGAAGAGGAGAGGGAGAAAGGCAAAGUCAGCUAAAGUUUGGCGAAACCAGCGGCAAAAUAAUACUGUUAAUCCGUCAAUUUUGACCAAGUUAUUGCUUUUGAUUUGUUUAUUAUGAUUCUUCAAUUAUUUUUCAUGUUCGAUAUAAUUUCUUAAACUUUUGAAUUUUUAAUCUAAUUUCUCAAUUUCCUUAUAAAGUCAAAUCAAUCAUUUAGUGCGAUUAAUAGGUUUUCGUAAGCGGGUUUUUUUUAAUAUCUUUUCAUUUCAAUAGUUUUUCUCCAAAAAAAAUUAAUAAUUUUAUAUUACUUUGUGCCUUUUUGGUUUUUAUGAAUAUCACGAUAACUCAAUCAAAAUCUUGAUAAUUGUAAAGUGUAGCUAAUAAUCUCUAAAAUAGUAAAAUUAGAAUCCCAUUUGAAGCUGUGUUACAUUGGUAUUCCUAUUCUGUUAUUUAUAUAUGCUUUCAUAUUGACAUCUAUAAAUGAUAUUGAUUUAUCUGUAGAUAUAUGUAUUUGUAUUAAUCUAAAUCGUGUUAUUUAUUAAACAAAUAUGGAACAAGAUAUAAGACACUGAAAUUUUUAUUAAUUUGAAAAAUGAGGAACCUUGUUCUUGAAAGUGAUUGACUACGAAGUAGCGAUACCAUCCGGGAACCUUUGUAUCAUGUGGACACUUUGACACAUGUCUAACAUUUGGUCAACAGGUAUCAAAAUCAAUUUUCCCGAUACUCUUUGACACGUGAGAGGGAAUUCUAACAUCUGUGUUCCAAAUUAUAAUACGCAAUUCUAACAAGCAUGUGAUCAAUUUUUAAAUUUUUUAAUAAAUGAGGGGUUAAAAUAUAAAUAUGUAAAAAAAAAUUUAAAAAAAAAAGAGGAAAAAAGAAAAACAUAAUCUUCUCUUUUUUUUCUCUUUUUUUCUAAGUCUCACUUCCCGUGACACGCAAUUCAUCCUUAAUGUUUAUUUUUUCUUUUCUCUUCUGACACGCUCUAACACGCAAGUCCCAAACGUGAAUUGCUAUUUUUUUCCCUCCAAUUUUAUGCAUUAUUAGAAUAUAAUUGAAUUUGUCAAAUUGAAAUAAUGAAUGAUAUUAACAAAAUAUGGAUUAACGUUAUUGGUGUAAAUUCAUUCUACACACUUUUUUUAUUAUAUAUUUAUUUUUGAAUUUAAUUAAAAUAAUCAUAAAAAUAAUAAUUUAUCAUGUAUUUAUAAACAUAUACAUUUAAUAUAUACCGCGUUUCAAUGUGCCGGAAUUCUUUAUUUUUGAAGAAUCAAUGUGUCGGCAUGUCAGGUCGCAUGUGGUGUGUUAGUAUCAAUACUUUCUUGAAGAAUGAAAGUGUGUUUUCAGUAGUACUCCCAGUAGGAAAGGCAGAGUUGCUUGAUUGAGCAUGGAUUAAAAAAGACAGUGGAGAUGUUAUCGAUUUCUUAUAGCACAUGGCAACAUAGAUGGUGCAUUAAGCUUCGGAAACAGAAAUCCUCAACAAUAUUCACGAAGAACAGAAGGCACAUAUAUCAUGAUCUAUGCUAUAAGUGCUUCUGUUCUCAGUACUGCAAUAUCAAAUGCAUAAGAACAGAAACAUACAGUACCAAGAUUAUUUACACGGUUUGCUAUCUCCUAUAUGGCGCUCAGAUAAAUUAGUUUUCACAAGCUGUGCUAGAUACAAGGUACGCAUUUUCUCAACAUGUUUCUCUAUUCAUUCUGCAUUUUGUUUACAGGACUAUUUUCAGCCAAGGUCAGAAAAGAAAUAGGUCAUACCAUUAAACGGCAUCAUGUCCACUUUCUGGUACCCUGAACAUUCCGACGUUCGGCCUGAUGUACUGAAUUCCGUAGGCUUC